GCCGGUGUAGCUCAGUUGGUAGAGCAAUUGCUUCGUAAGCAAUGUGUCAGGGGUUCGAAUCCUCUCAUCGGCU
rnacentral:tRNA from 1 species